rnacentral:piRNA from 1 species
CAAAUCUGUCUCUUCUUUGAACGCAGUAUG